CCUACGGUGGGCAGCAGUGGGGAAUAUUGGGCAAUGGGCGCAAGCCUGACCCAGCAACGCCGCGUGAAGGAAGAAGGCUUUCUGGUUGUAAACUUCUUUUGUCAGGGACGAAGCAAGUGACGGUACCUGACGAAUAAGCCACGGCUAACUACGUGCCAGCAGCCGCGGUAAUACGUCGGUGGCAAGCGUUAUCAGGAUUUACUGGGGGUAAAGGGCGUGUAGGCGGGAAUGCAAGUCAGAUGUGAAAACCACGGGCUCAACCUGUGGCCUGCAUUUGAAACUGUAGUUCUUGAGGACUGGAGAGGCAUACGGAAUGCCGGGUGUAGCGGUGAAAUGCGUAGAUAUUAGGAGGAACACCAGUGGCGAAGGCGGUCUGCUGGACAGCAACUGACGCUGAGGCGCGAAAGCGUGGGGAGCAAACAGGAUUAGAUACCCUUGUAGUC
rnacentral:rRNA from 1 species